rnacentral:misc_RNA from 1 species
GAUGAAGAACGUAGCGAAAUGCGAUACGUAAUGUGAAUUGCAGAAUUCAGUGAAUCAUCGAAUCUUUGAACGCAUAUUGCGCUCUUUGGUAUUCCGAAGAGCAUGCUUGUUUGAGUAUCAGUAAACACCUCAACCUCUUCUUGAUUUUUCAAAAGGAGGGUGGACUUGAGCUAUCCCAACAACCUUUACCGGUCGGCGGGCGGCUUGAAAUGCAGGUGCAGCUGGACUUUUAUCUGAGCUAAAAGCAUAUCUAUUUAGUCCUCGUCAAACAGGAUUAUUACUUUUGCUGCAGCUAACAUAAAGGAUAAUUGUCCUCUUUGCUGACUGAUGCAGGAUUUUACGACACUUUAUGUGUUGUUCAACUCGAUCUCAAAUCAAGUAAGACUACCCGCUGAACUUAAGCAUAUCAAUAAGCGGAGGA